UGCACUUUUAGCUCAUGGAAGUCAGACUUACGGAAGAAUUUCAGAGAAACUUAAGAUUUCUGCAGUAACUUCGCCAGGAAAUCGGCUCAUUAUUUUGUAAAUAGUUCUGCUAAGACCUUGUUUGUUUCUGUCUUUGGUGGUUUCCUUGGCCUGCCUUCUGAUUUUCUGAGAAAUCAUGGUCUUGCCUCAGUUUAUCUGGUCGUAGCUGUGGUCAGUGUUGUAGCUGCUCUGCUGCACAUGAGGCCUGGCCCUCCCGGGGCUACGCGCCCGGCUGGGGAGCCCCAGGAACCGGGCAGUGAAGGCCCUCCCCGAGCCCCAUGGUGAGCGCGUCCGUGGAGGCCACGUCCUCGCUCUGCGUGAAGAAAGGGCACUAAGCGCCAGCAACUGAACUGGUAAACACUGUGUGCAGGACUCUGGGGGCCUGGAUUGAACUCCAAAUGUGCAAAAUCACCACUUGCACCUGUGCAUUGGCACCAAAUUGACAGAGGGGCCUCUGACUGCUUUGAUCAACUGGAUGUGGUGCAAAUGAUUUGUGCCAGUUCCCAGGCCCAGGCCUCGAGAGAGAGAGAGACCAGCAGCUUCCUUGCCUUCCCUUGGACCAUUCACUUUGACGGGAGGAAGGCUUACUGCCCCACGGAGAGGCCCUCCUGGAGAACUGAAGGUCUUUGCUAACAGCUCUGACUGAGCCCGUCCUGACCAUAACCAGACCACUUCACUUCUCACCUGAGAAGUGUAUUCUCCAGCUGUACUGGAGCUGCCCCAGCUAUGCCACAUGGAGCAGGGGUGCGUUGCCCCACCAAGUCCCAUCCGAAUUAUAGGUUCAUCAAUCAAAUACAUGAUUGUUGUU